GUGCAGUGUGAGGAGGACAGGACCAAGAAGUGUGAGGAGGACAGGACCAAGAAGUGUGAGGAGGACAGGACCAAGAAGUGUGAGGAGGACAGGACCAAGAGGUGUGAGGAGGACAGGACCAAGAAGUGUGAGGAGGACAGGACCAAGAGGUGUGAGGAGGACAGGACCAGGAAGUGUGAGGAGGACAGGACCAGGAAGUGCAGUGUGAGGAGGAUGUUCAAAGAGGUGUAGAAUAAACUUAAUAAAUAGGUUGGCUUGGUUUAUUCAUCACGUCAUUGUAGCUGCACUUAGAUGACAGACAGAUUGACACACACGCACACACACGCACACACACGCACACACACACACGCAGAGAGAGAGAACAGCACAAGACAGACGUCUUUAAAACAGCUAUUCUUUGUGGUCAGGCGCCAUGCUCAUUACCGGCUGACUAAAUUGCUGACAGGAAGUCAGAGGUCAACAGUCCCCUUUGACCCCAGGGCUGGCAGGGGUGAGGGGGAUUGAGUCCAGCAGACCAGACAAGACCAGCCUGAAGGAAGCAGAAGGGAGAGAAGUGUGACAGGACCAGGACGUGUAGUGUGAGUAGGACAGGACAAAAUGGCACCCUAUUAUAAGGACUAGUGUUCUAUCUGGGAGGCAGAUGGAGACUCUCAUGGUUGUGUUGUAUUGUAUAGUCAAAUCAAAUUUAAACAAAUGUUAUUUGUCACGUGCACCGAAUACAACAGGUGUAGACUUUACAGUGAAAUGCUUACGUACAAGCCAUUAACCAAAAAUGCAGUUUUAAGAAAAAUAAGUGUUAAGAAAUUAUUUAAUAAAAUAAACUGAAGUAAAAAAAUAAAAAAGUACAUAAAUGAAACAUUUAAAUUUAAAAGAAGAAAAUAGAAAAAUAACAAAUAAUUAAAGUGAGACAAUAAAAUAACAGUAGCGAGGCUAUAUACAGGCCCAGAUUAUAUACAGGCCCAGAUUAUAUACAGGCCCAGAUUAUAUACAGGCCCAGAUUAUAUACAGGCCCAGAUUAUAUACAGGCCCUGAUUAUAUACAGGCCCUGAUUAUAUACAGGCCCAGAUUAUAUACAGGCCCUGAUUAUAUACAGGCCCAGAUUAUAUACAGGCCCUGAUUGAUUAUAUACAGGCCCUGAUUAUAUACAGGCCCAGAUUAUAUACAGGCCCAGAUUAUAUACAGGCCCAGAUUAUAUACAGGCCCAGAUUAUAUACAGGCCCUGAUUAGAUACAGGCCCAGAUUAUAUACAGGCCCAGAUUAUAUCGAAGCCCAGAUUAUAUCGGGGCCCAGAUUAUAUCGAAGCCCAGAUUAUAUCGGGGCCCAGAUAUUAUCGAGGCCCAUGUUAAAUCAAAUCAUUCACCCUCUUUACCAAACUAACAAUGACAAAUCCUUGAUGUGUCACAUUGUGAACCCAUAUCAAACUACAAAAAUCUCUGAAGCUGGAGACUCAUAUCUCCCUCACUAGCUCCCCUCACAGCGCCAGCUGUCAGAGCAGCUCACAGAUCACUGCACCUGUACAUAGCCCAUCUGUAAACAGCCCAUCUAUCUACCUACCUCAUCCCCAUACAGUAUUUAUGUAUUUAUAUUGCUCCUUUGCACCC
ensembl:lncRNA